rnacentral:misc_RNA from 1 species
UUAUUAACGACGUAAGUACCCUACUCCAGCCAUCUCAUUUAAUGUAUUUUAGUGUUAUAUAAACUUGAAUUUCAUUCACAAACUGUAAAGCAUUAUGACGAAUAUUCAAAAGCCAGAAAAAUAUUCCCACAAAGCAAUAUUUAGUCGUACAAACUUGGAAGAGAAUGAGAAAAAAGUUACAACAGUUAUUAAUUUGAGUAAUCCUAAGAGAAAUAAACCGACAGUUGAGAGACAUCCGAAAGUAGAAGUUCUGCAUUUAAAUGAAGAGCAGUUUUCAAGAAAUUCAAAUAUAGUUGUUUGCCCUUUUUUAAAUACAACAAUGAGGAUAUUAAGACAACUUGAAGAUAUUAAAACUGCUAAAGUUCAUAGAAAACAAUUAAAAUGUGACGAUAUCAAUGUGUUAAAGGGUAUUAGGUGUGUGAACAUUCCAAGAAAGCAACUGAUUUAUCACAAUUUGAUUAAAAUUGAACUGUAAAAUUCAAACAAACAUUUGUAUAUAUUUUUAUCAUAAAAUAAUGUCAAAAAUUUAUUUAAAACUUACAAAAAUAAAACACAUCUGUGAUAUAAGAAUUAGAUACACAACAAAAACUUGGUCAGGAAUUUUGGAGGUUUUUAUCAUGUGAUUUCAACAGUAUAGAAAGCAAAUCAAAUUACCAAUACAGGUCAUUUUAAAAUUUGCUUUAUAUAACAAAUGUAAAUUUGGAUAAAUUUCAUUAAAGCAAAGAAAUAAAA